rnacentral:rRNA from 1 species
AGGGAAUAUUGCGCAAUGGGCGAAAGCCUGACGCAGCCAUGCCGCGUGGAUGAUGAAGGCCUUCGGGUCGUAAAGUCCUUUUCUGAGGGAAGAACUGCCGGGGGAGGAAAUGCCCUUGGCUUGACGGUACCUCAGGAAUAAGCAACGGCUAACUCCGUGCCAGCAGCCGUGGUAAUACGGAGGUUGCAAGCGUUGUUCGGAAUGACUGGGCGUAAAGGGAGCGCAGGCGGCCAAGUCAGUCUGAAGUGAAAGCCCGGGGCUUAACCCCGGAAUAGCUUUGGAUACUGCCUGGCUUGAGUGUGCGAUAGGAAAGCGGAAUUCCAGGUGUAGCGGUGAAAUGCGUAGAUAUCUGGAGGAACACCGGUGGCGAAAGCGGCUUUCUGGCGCAUAACUGACGCUGAGGCUCGAAAGCGUGGGGAGCGAACGG